UACGUAGGGUGCGAGCGUUGUCCGGAUUUAUUGGGCGUAAAGGGCUCGUAGGCGGCCUGUCGCGUCGGGAGUGAAAGCCCGCUGCUUAACGGCGGGUUGGCUUCCGGUACGGGCAUCGCUGGAGUGCGGCAGGGGAGACUGGAAUUCCUGGUGUAGCGGUGGAAUGCGCAGAUAUCAGGAGGAACACCGGUGGCGAAGGCGGGUCUCUGGGCCGUUACUGACGCUGAGGAGCGAAAGCGUGGGGAGCGAACAGG
rnacentral:rRNA from 1 species